rnacentral:rRNA from 1 species
UACAGAGGUCCCAAGCGUUGUUCGGAUUUACUGGGCGUAAAGGGCGCGUAGGCGGCUUGACAAGUCACUUGUGAAAUCUCCGGGCUUAACUCGGAACGGCCAAGUGAAACUGUCAUGCUAGAGUGCAGAAGGGGCAAUCGGAAUUCUUGGUGUAGCGGUGAAAUGCGUAGAUAUCAAGAGGAACACCUGAGGUGAAGACGGGUUGCUGGGCUGACACUGACGCUGAGGCGCGAAAGCCAGGGGAACAAACGGG